rnacentral:misc_RNA from 1 species
GAUGAAGAACGUAGUGAAAUGCGAUAAGUAAUGUGAAUUGCAGAAUUCAGUGAAUCAUCGAAUCUUUGAACGCACAUUGCGCCCGCCAGUAUUCUGGCGAGCAUGCUUGUUCGAGCGUCAUUUCAACCAUCAAGCCCCAGGCUUGUGUUGGAGCCCUGCGGCUGCCGCAGCCUCCCAAAACCAGUGGCGGGCUCGCUAUCACACCGAGUGCAGUAGUUUACUCUUCGCUCAGGGCGUGUGGCGGGUGCUAGCCGUGAAACCCCCAACUUCUCAAGGUUGACCUCGGAUCAGGUAGGAAUACCCGCUGAACUUAAGCAUAUCAAUAAGCGGAGGA